rnacentral:rRNA from 1 species
UACGGAGGGUGCAAGCGUUAUCCGGAUUCACUGGGUUUAAAGGGCGCGUAGGUGGGUUGGUAAGUCAGUGGUGAAAUCCCCGAGCUUAACUUGGGAACUGCCAUUGAUACUAUCAGUCUUGAAUACUGUGGAGGUUAGCGGAAUAUGUCAUGUAGCGGUGAAAUGCUUAGAUAUGACAUAGAACACCAAUUGCGAAGGCAGCUGGCUACACAAUUAUUGACACUGAUGCUCGAAAGCGUGGGGAUCAAACAGG